UGGGUGGUACUUGUAGUUUAAUCCGGUUCGGUCGCUGCAACUGUCACUGGCUGUGUGAACAAUAGCCGCACGUCACAUGGUUAAGGAUUUAAGUGCACCCAGCGUGGACUAACCCACCCAGCGUGGACUAACCCACCCAUCGUGAUUAUUUAUUUAAAGCUGCAAAGAGCAGAUGCAGAACAGUGUGGAGUCUGCAGCUGCGAGCUGAUGGCACCUCAGCAUGGUUUUAUCUGCUGGACAUAGCUCUUCUGGCUCGUCUGCACACAGCUGCUCUCUCCAUGUCUGCAUGACUGUAGCAGCCCCAGCUGGAUGACCUUCAUGAAGAGAAAGCAGGUGUAACUGCAGAGGUGGCACUCCCAACACUGAAGAGCCUCGUCUGUCAUCUGAUGGAAGCAUCAAGCUGGAGCAGUGCACGUCUUCCAUUGCUUUAAGCAACGUGUCUUCAUCUGUGUGAAUGUUGAAUGUGGUUUUUGUUUUGUUUUUAAACCACUGUAUUUAAGGACAAUAAAGGUUGACCACACAGGACCAAUGGCUAUUUUCUUCAGUGGGUUGAUCACAGUAAACUCAGAGCAAUGUGCUUUGGAAGCUAAUAUCAGUGGGUGACAGUUUUGCCAUAAGUUCUUCUCAUGCACUGAUCAGAUGGUUGUAACUGUAUAAUCCCCAAGCAGCUUUUGGGUUUACUGUCUUACACAUCAGUGCAACAUUUUACUUGUAUAAAUGUGUGAAACCUUACUGAUGGGUGACUGAAUGCUGUAUUAAAGUGCUGCACAUGGCUAAA
ensembl:lncRNA